rnacentral:misc_RNA from 1 species
AAGUCUUGUCUUUACAACCCAAAGAGGAUUUGUGAAAAUAGUUGUUGUAGCACCCGCACCAGAAGCAGCUAUCAUAUUUGCACCUAUUGAAAGAUGAUUCUCAUCAUUGGAAGAAAGAAGGCUUUUGAGCUGCUCAUAUAUUGAAAAAUAAACUGCCCAAUUGGGAAGCAAUGCGAGCACGGUAGGACCAAGGCCCCGGUACAUGCCACGUAGCCCUUCCUUCUGGAAUAUUUGUUC